rnacentral:lncRNA from 1 species
GUGGAAAUGAAAACUCGGUGGUUAUUGCUAGAGCCUGAUGUCAGUUAUGUUCUAAUUUCUGCCCUUGAUAAAUGAUAGCACUGUAAGUAUUUUCUUCCCAGCCUGUCGUUUCAUCCAUCAGCCCACAUGUGAUGUGUGCCCUUGCAACCCGCCCGUGGUCUUGCAAUCGAAACAAUGACGCCGGCGUGCUCCGGGCCAUGCGAGCAGAGAAUUGCCUGGAGACCUGCUCUGCACCUCGGUCUGCUGAGUAGAGGGUACGUUGUGGGGCCAGGCUGGGUACCAGGCACCUCCCUCCUCUGCAGCCCCUGUCAAUACAAAGCACGUUUCCUCUGGGAGGUACCAAAUCACGCAGAGGAAGCAUUACCUCUGUAUUUUCAGUAAAAUCUCAGUUAUUGAAAACAAAAUAAUCCACAUGUCUUGAACAAAUAUUAUGACAUUUCAUUAUUCACACUAAGCGUGAUAAGUGAGUUGUUUUAGGGACUGUGGUACAUGAUUUAUUUAGUUUGGAUGUGGGUAUAAAUUCAGUCUUUGGAGGAAGCACUGUAACUCUGUAGGAAUGCAGAUGCUCUCAUGUUCACUGGAGCAUAGCCAGUACCUAGUACCUAAUUUGUAUUGUUUUAGUGUAAACAGGGCACACGAGGCCUUUCGGAACUUACAGAAACCAGGUGAUUUUGCCAGUGCCUGUUUAAGAAGAGCUGCACAGUGAAAGAUGUGUAUCAGAUCUUCAAGUGGAGAAUCAUAGGAUGGUUUGGGUUGGAAGGGACCUUAAAGCCCAUCUGGUUCCAAGCCCUGCCAUGGGCAGGGACCCUUCCCACCAGACCGGGUUGCCCAAAGCCUGGCCUUGAACACCUCCAGGGAUGGGGCACCCACAGCUUCUCUGGGCAACCUGUGCCAGGGCCUCACCUUAUAGUGAAGAAUUUCUUCUGAAUAUCUAAUCUAAACCUACCCUAUUUCAGGUUCUUUCAAGUUGCCCCCUGCUGUGGUGAGGGGCUCAGCCGGGCUGGGACAUGCGGUGCCUGGUGGGGCCAGGUCUGGUGCAGGAGUCCUCGUGGUCUGAACUGUGGGUGCUGGACAUGGCUGGGGACCUGACUGGCUUGUAGCUACUGGAGCAGUUGCUUCUUCUAUGACUUAUUUUUCUGUCUGAGUUUUAAUUUUUGCUUCAGAGCCCACGACUCUCUUCUAGGCCUCCGUGAUGGAUAGCUGCUCUACAAACCAAGCUGUGCUCUAUUAAAAGGAACAUUUUAGCUGCAAGACAAGAUGGUGAAGGCUGGAAGAGCUGUCAGAUUUUUUCUUGUCUUUAAGUAUCCAAGAGCCAAAUCCUAUGACGUGCUGCACCCUGUAUCUGCCACGGCUAAGGCUACUGGCUGUCAGCAGCUCCAGCGGGG